UAUAAGUCUUUUGGAAAUCAUCGUGUGUGUGACGGAAACACCCGACGGUAUCCUAUUGUAGAAAGAGACAGCGCUAUGCCCCCCUUUCCGCAUAUUUUCCAACCUAUAUGCUUAGCGCUCUGUCCAUAGAUUCUUAGGUCCAUGGGUUGCUUUAAUCAUUGUUACGACUUAUCCGGAAAAUAGAAUAGGACAGAGAAACACUUGGAAGCAUUUGUAGCGGUCGCUGGACUGCACCCGACGUUACCUUUCCCCUUGUGUCGUUUUCUUCUCUCUCCUAAUACAGAGCGAGAGAGAGAGAGCUUCUCUCACGCAAUAACUCUGUCCUCUAAUGUAGUCUUCAGCACGCCCAUAAGGAUGCGCAGUCUAUCUAUAUAAGCCUAUGAUCUCAUCACUCCUUUUCUAAGAGUAUCCCAAGAUUCGUAAAUAGAGGAACGGAACGAAGAUUCUCUCAUCCACUUUACACGAUUUGGCUCAAAAAUAGCGGCAAUCGUAACUCAGCUGAUUAACCAUAUACCGUCAGGUCAAAAAUUAUUUCCGCUUUUUGCAAUUUUUGUACUGUAAUCGGCAUUGUAACCGUUUUUCUUCUUAAAAUUCUCACUGAUAUUUUGGAAUGUGUUUAAACUAUAUUUUGAUUACUUCUGACUACAUCUUAAACUAUGUUUUGAUUACCUGUUCACUCACACAACUAAACUAUAAUACUACACGUACAUAGUAUCAUGUACACCAACACAGAUUCUCUGGUUCCAAAAUGGCGGCCGUGAGAGGAUCUGACUUUGUUCCGUUCCUCUACUUACGGACCUUGGAGUACUUAGUCUUUUGUUCGCCUUCGUAGCGGUUAGAUGUGGUUCUCGUAACUGCGCACAGUUUUUAUUGAAUUAAAAAAUGUCUCCAAAUUAUCCGAGGAAGAAAAAUGAUGGUCAAUUGUGAAAACAAAUAAAUAAAAACAAACAUAACGGAAAGGAGGAAUUGAAACAAGUUUCCUUGUUCAGUAGGCCCUGUUUAAUUCAAUAUGAAUCCCUUUGUCUCGAAAUGAAAGCAAUAAAAUUGGACAGGAUGAGAAAUGCCAAACUGCGACACCGGAAUAACAUUAACGACGUUGUCAUAUGGGUGAGGAUGCGUCAUAGACAAUGGAACGGUCAUGUUGACAGGAAGGCGGAAGACAGACUAGCACAGCAUCACAUCCAGGUGAAGGGGAACAAUAAUAACCACGUAAAAAAACCAGGGUUCAUCUGGCCCGAAUGAUAGCACUCGGUUGGGGGACUUGCAAUCCACUACUUGUAAAAAGGAAGAUGGCAAAAAAUCCUUGUAAUAAGCCUCGGAAUUCGGAUGGAUGGUUACGGAGAUAAAUACGGAAACGAAAAAGCACAAUGAAUUUUGGGACAUGGAACAUGGAACGUACAGUGGUUUGAGAGGGAUGAUGGAAGAUGCAGAAAGGGGUAUAACGGAGAUGAAGAUGGAUAUAACAGUUAUAAUAAAAACACAAAAGAAAAGGAAUAGUAUAGAGCAACAAGCCUGUCCUAAGCCAGGUGAAGGGGAAGAAUAAUAACCUCGUAAAAAAACCAGGGUUCCUCUGGCCCGAAUGAUAGCACUCGGUUGGGGGACUUGCAAUCCACUACUUGUAAAAGGGAAGAUGCCAAAAAAUCCUUGUAAUAAGCCUCGGAAUUCGGAUAGAUGGUUACGGAGACAAAUACGGAAACGCAAAGCACAUUGAAUUUUGGAGCAUGGAACAUGGAACGUACAGUGGUUUGAGAGGGAUAAUGGAAGAUGUAGAAAGGAGUAUAACGAAGAUGGAUAUAACAGUUAUAAUAAAAACACAAAAGAAAGGGAAUAGUAUAGAGCAACAAGCCAGGUGAAGGGGAACAAUAAUAACCACGUAAAAAACCAGGGUUCAUCUGGCCCGAAUGAUAGCACUCGGUAAGAGUUUUUGUCUGGCAAAGCUACUGCCUUGUAGAUGGAUAUUUGCUUAUCGAAGGCUAAAAGAAGGAACCUUGAAUACAAAUACCUGGUUCUCCAGGUCGGGGGACUUGCAAUCCACUACUUGUAAAAAGGAAGAUGGCAAAAAAUCUUUGUAAUAAGCCUCGGAAUUCGGAUGGAUGGUUACGGAGACAAAUACGGAAACGAAAAAGCACAAUGAAUUUUGGGACAUGGAACAUGGAACGUACAGUGGUUUGAGAGGGAUGAUGGAAGAUGUAGAAAGGGGUAUAACGGAGAUGAAGAUGGAUAUAACAGUUAUAAUAAAAACGCAAAGGAUAGGGAAUAGUAUAAAGC